rnacentral:rRNA from 1 species
CAGUCGAACGAAGCACUCUACUUGAUUUUCUUCGGAGAUGAAGAUUUUGUGACUGAGUGGCGGACGGGUGAGUAACGCGUGGGUAACCUGCCUCAUACAGGGGGAUAACAGUUGGAAACGACUGCUAAUACCGCAUAAGCGCACAGGAUUGCAUGAUCCGGUGUGAAAAACUCCGGUGGUAUGAGAUGGACCCGCGUCUGAUUAGCCAGUUGGCAGGGUAACGGCCUACCAAAGCGACGAUCAGUAGCCGACCUGAGAGGGUGACCGGCCACAUUGGGACUGAGACACGGCCCAAACUCCUACGGGAGGCAGCAGUGGGGAAUAUUGCACAAUGGGGGAAACCCUGAUGCAGCGACGCCGCGUGAGCGAAGAAGUAUUUCGGUAUGUAAAGCUCUAUCAGCAGGGAAGAAGAAUGACGGUACCUGACUAAGAAGCACCGGCUAAAUACGUGCCAGCAGCCGCGGUAAUACGUAUGGUGCAAGCGUUAUCCGGAUUUACUGGGUGUAAAGGGAGCGCAGGCGGUGCGGCAAGUCUGAUGUGAAAGCCCGGGGCUCAACCCCGGUACUGCAUUGGAAACUGUCGUACUAGAGUGUCGGAGGGGUAAGUGGAAUUCCUAGUGUAGCGGUGAAAUGCGUAGAUAUUAGGAGGAACACCAGUGGCGAAGGCGGCUUACUGGACGAUACCUGACGCUGAGGCUCGAAAGCGUGNGGAGCAAACAGGA